GAGAGAGGGAGGAAAAUGUUAGCAUGCUUUCGGCUGGAAAUUAAGCAGCGCGAGCCAUCUGCACGUUGAAAGCUCUACAUUUUUCACGUCUUGUGGGGACAUCAAGUAAGUGCAGGGCCAGCAAUCUGUGUGCUGCAUUCCCUCCCCCAAACCAGAAAAGCCAGGCUCCACCCACAGGUGUCACUGGACCACUUCUCCUUGGCUGACAUUCCUGGGAGGAGUGAAUUGGUUUGUUGGGUUUUUGGUAGAAAGGCAAGGAGACCAUGUAGCCCCCUUGAGUUACAGCUGUGGUUUUAAACCAGGGAUGAUUUUGCCUCCCAGGUGACAUUUGGCAAGGUCUGCAGACAUUUUGGGUUGUCAUAAUGGUGGGGGAGGGGGAUGUUAUUGAUAACCAGGGGGCAGAGACCAGGGAUGUUGCUUACCAUCCUACGAUGUUUAGGCAAAGGACAGCCCCCAACACCAAAGAAGUAUCCUGCCCACAGUGCCAGUAUGCCGAGGUUGACAAACCCUGCAUUAGAGAAUCAGAAGAACCGUCUGUCUUGUUAAAAACAAGCACUAUAGCCGACUAGGAAAAAUGUUGACAAGGUAAAGGGUGGGAUUGAUGAAAAUCCAUUCAAUAGACAUCCGGAAUUUCUGUAUGCACGGAACCAGCAAUGACACAGCAAGCGUAGAGCAGAGAGCCCCCCUGGGGUCUGUGGCAAUGGAGGGAACCUCUGAGGUUGCCUCCUUAUAGGAAGGAAAGCAGAGAUGGAGGGCUGCGGCUUUGGCAUCAGACACAUUUGGUUUCACAUAAUGAACCCACUGACUAUGCACCAUGGCUCUUAGGUCUUUUACAUACUCUGACUAAGACUCAGUCUUCCCAUCACCAAAAUGGAAAUUAAAGUGGGUUUUGUGAGAACUACACGUCAGAGCACAUGAAACGCCUGAGCCCUAUCCAGCUCUUAUUCCCCUUCAUGUCUCAGCCCCAGGACCCCACUUGUUCCCUCUUUCCUGCUGGGUACUUUGAACUUUUGAAGAAUAUGAACAAAUGUGCUGAUCCUAUAAUGACUGAGGUCAUUUUUAUUUAGUAAUGAGCGAAGGACAAAAGCAUCAUUUUGGGGGAUUGUUGGCUGGUAGUCUUAGACUAACUUUAGGCAUGAAGGACAGGAAAACAUAAGAAAUGGAUGAGAUGAGAGGCGGUAUUAAGAGUGUUCCAGCUCCUCCAUUUUACUGGCUGUGUGACCUUGAAUAGUUAUUGAACCUAUCUAUCUGAGCAAUUUCUUAUCUAUGAAAUAGGGAUAAUUAUUACCUCUUGCAUUAUUGUAAGGAUUAAAGAUCAUGUAUAUAAAGUGCCUAGCUGGUGCCCAAUAUAAGGUAGGCACCUGAUAAUAUGACAAUAUCCACCUUCAUGUAGGCAACUUACCUUUUUUUUUUUUUUUUUUAAAGAAAGAUUGGCAUGUGUACGUCUAACCCAGGAUCUUCUCCACUGACGCUGUGAGGCUAAGGCUGUGUGUUAGGAAGACACAGGUGGCCUAUUUCAUCUACAACAAUCAGAUUUCACUCAGUCAUCUAUGAUAGUUCCAGCGGCCACAACGUUAUACUGUAGCACAUCCCCUGUCACCCUGGCCUCAAACAGAAGCCUGUCCAGUCUGGACCACUUCAAAUGUCUUGUCACCUCCAUUAUUUCUUUCUUUAUAAUGCAUCAACCGGAGCUAUACCUUCCCUAUAAAGGGGAUAAUUAAAUGAUCAAUUUAGAGGUUGCUUGCUCAUCCCUCCCAAGCAGAAUGAUGGCAUCUCACCUGGAAGCUGUGACAACCAGGAAAGGCGGAAGAAGGAUGUUUAUCAGACACACAUGAACUCAGCUCCCCAGAAUGUAGCACACAGGUACCUCAUUUCUGAACAAGUAGCAGAAGCCAGAUCCACAGUCACCCCAGGGCUGUGACCGGCUGGAGGUGAGAUAUCUCGAGGUUUACCAGGAGGACCAGAAGCGCUCAAAGUAUGUGAACAUCAGAGCAGUGGCUAAGAAAGAGUCCAGGUGGGCUGGGACAUCAGGCCUCCGAGGGCAAGGCAGGCAGAACGUCUGGGAUCCAGGAUGACAGAUAGGAGAUUUAAAACAGGGCACCAUCAGAGCCCUGAAACAAGGCAAGGUUUUAUCAGGAAGGGGAUCUAAGCCUCAGGAGUGAGAGUAGUACAACUGAGCCUGGCUGAAGACAGAUCCUUAUAACAAUAAAGCAGAAGGGAUAACAGAGAGGGAGGGGGAGGGGGGUUGAUGCCUCCUUUGGGGCAAAUAAUUUUCUCUGUAUCCCUGUAACCCUAGUACAGGUUCCUAGAAGAUCAGUCAGUUGGUCAAUUAGCAGGUGAUGUUGAAUAUGUACUCUGCGGGUAUCAUUCCUUGCAUAAAGCUCCCGUAGAACACUACUAACCUCAUGAGGUGCUCCAAGAAAAACAUUCUAGGAUCACUGUGAUUUUUGCAAACUGCAAGUCCCUCUUGGAAAUUCAUAGUGUACAUUAGCAUUUUAGAAGCUCAAACUCCUGUGAUAUAGAAACCUGUUUUUAAUCCAGUGUUUCUCCAACAGUUGACAACAGGAUCCUUUUGUUACGUGAAAACUAUGAACAUCCUGUGGACACACCUUGAGAGAUAUUGUUCUAAAGCAUUCCUAAUCUGGUGUUCCCAGGCCCUUCGCAACCUGGGCCUGCCCUUGUUUCCCGACUUUACCUUCCUUUAUUUUCCUACAUUCCAGGCACACUGAAUUCUUCCCUUGUACAUGCCCCUAUUUCACAUUUCCUUCUUUUCUCUACAGCAGGUGAUUCAUCAUCUGCCCAAAAAAGGGAAAAAACGCUGAGCCUUCCUCGCUUCAGCCCCCACCCAUUUCUAGCUAUCCUGUAAGGCUCACCUCAAAGGGGACACUUGAUCCAUCUCUGCCCCAGCCUCCCUGUUACUAUAAACCAUCCAGGGCUUCCCUGGUGGCGCAGUGGUUGAGAGUCUGCCUGCCAAUGCAGGGGACACGGGUUCGAGCCCUGGUCUGGGAAGAUCCCACAUGCCGCGGAGCAACUGGGCCUGUGAGCCACAAUUACUGAGCCUGCGCGUCUGGAGCCUGUGCUCCGCAACAAGAGAGGCCGCGAUAGUGAGAGGCCCGCGCACCGCGAUGAAGAGUGGCCCCCGCUUGCCACAACUA